rnacentral:lncRNA from 12 species
AGCAGCUAUAACAAUUAAAAACUAGCCAGAUGAAGAAGCAGUAGCAUAUUCUCCUCCAUAAUCACUGAAAAAAAAAUAGCAAAUCUUAAAUAAAGGAAAAUGUGAGACCUGAAAUCUUUUUGAUCUGCUUUAUGAUCCAGCAAUGUUGCCUUUUUAAACCAAACCAGACUGUGCCAAAGGCUGGGCCCAGUGAGAGAAAGGAGAAAAAAAAGGAACUUGCAUUGUGUCUACCAGCAGUCACAGUCAAUGUCUGAGAAGGAGACUAGUGAACUUACUUGUGCUACACUGUAGGUUGUGACUCAGGGCUGGUGCCUUUGAGCUGCUUUUCCCAGCUCAGACAAUAGGUAAUUCUGUCUGUAAACAAUGAGAAAGGCAAUUUUGAAUAAUGCAGACUAAUAAAGUACCUGAAAUUACUAUAUAUUCA